CAAGGCCACAUGUUCCAGUGUAUAACCGGCACUAUGAAUAGGUCUAAACCUUGAGUUUGACAGCUACAGAAGACACACUGUUCAACUAGGACUAAAUGGGACUGUCUGUUCAACUAGGACUAAAUGGGACGCACCCAGUUCGUGGAUGGACCAAGCAAACUACAAAUUCUCUUUCCAGUGAUAAGCAUCAUCAGUAGUGUAGUUUCUUAGAGUAUGGUUUCUUAUAGAUAAGCUUGGUAUUGAAGGAUAGUGACCAACAUAUAAACAACUUGAACUAUAUGCUUGCCUUUGUUCAACAUCACACAGUCAUCCAUGCAAAAUAUUCAAAUUCCAUAGUUAGACAAAGAAAUGUUUAGCAUGAUCAUAUUUACUUUUGGUGAAAAAGCAAAAGCACGGUAUC
rnacentral:lncRNA from 1 species